rnacentral:pre_miRNA from 1 species
UCUUAUGGAUGAGCAAAGAAAGUGGGUUCUCGAGAUGAAAUCCACUCCUGGUGAAGAUGCUGUGAA